rnacentral:pre_miRNA from 1 species
GUGAGAAUGGUGAAUACAGGAAUGGCUCUCUGUGCCAAUCUCGUUAAAGUGAGGGCUCUACCCUACCUCUAUUUACGACUACACGUUGGCCCGUUCAGAUUUAGGUGUUCAGUGGAAAGAUAACCUAUCACCUAAAGUUUUCAUGACCACUUAGAUUAGGGUAGAGCCCUCUCUUUACGAGGUUGGCGCAGAUAGCCAUUCUUGUAUUCACCAUUCUCUACU